UACGUAGGGGGCUAGCGUUGUCCGGAUUUAUUGGGCGUAAAGAGCGUGUAGGCGGCCAGGUAGGUCUGGUGUGAAAACUCGAGGCUUAACCUCGAGAUGUCAUCGGAAACCAUCUGGCUAGAGUCCGGAAGAGGAGAGUGGAAUUCCUGGUGUAGCGGUGAAAUGCGCAGAUAUCAGGAAGAACACCAAUGGCGAAAGCAGCUCUCUGGGACGGUACUGACGCUGAGACGCGAAAGCCAGGGGAGCAAACGGG
rnacentral:rRNA from 1 species